ACUACAGAUGAAUUGCGAAAGAUACAAAAGGGACAUUCAAACUUUAAUAUAAAUCGAAAAUAAACUGACAACUUCAUGGCAAAAAAUAAAAAAAGACAAAUACCAUUACGACUGAUCAACACGAAUCCCAUUAAAAACCGGGUUUUAUCUGUGUUGUUCCAGAAGUAAGCAAAUCCUGCUCCAUAUGUCACACACGUCGUGCUACUUCUAUGUAAUACGAUGCCAGGUUUAAAAGAGGGACGAAAGAUACCAGAGGGAUAGUCAAACUCAUAGAUUGAAAAUAAACUGACAACACCAUGACUAAAAAUAAAAAGACAAACAGAUAAAUAAUAGUACAGAAGACAUAAC
rnacentral:lncRNA from 1 species